GGUCAGUUCGUCUAGGGGUUAGGACACAAGAUUUUCAUUCUUGUAACACGGGUUCGAUUCCCGUACUGACUA
rnacentral:tRNA from 1 species